UUAAGCGACUAAGCGUACACGGUGGAUGCCCUGGCAGUCAGAGGCGAUGAAGGACGUGCUAAUCUGCGAAAAGCGUCGGUAAGGUGAUAUGAACCGUUAUAACCGGCGAUGUCCGAAUGGGGAAACCCAGUGUGAUUCGUCACACUAUCGUUAACUGAAUACAUAGGUUAACGAGGCGAACCGGGGGAACUGAAACAUCUAAGUACCCCGAGGAAAAGAAAUCAACCGAGAUUCCCCCAGUAGCGGCGAGCGAACGGGGAGCAGCCCAGAGUCUGAAUCAGCUUGUGUGUUAGUGGAACGGUCUGGAAAGUCCGACGGUACAGGGUGAUAGUCCCGUACACCAAAAUGCACAGGUUGUGAACUCGAAGAGUAGGGCGGGACACGUGGUAUCCUGUCUGAAUAUGGGGGGACCAUCCUCCAAGGCUAAAUACUCCUGACUGACCGAUAGUGAACCAGUACCGUGAGGGAAAGGCGAAAAGAACCCCGGCGAGGGGAGUGAAAAAGAACCUGAAACCGUGUACGUACAAGCAGUGGGAGCACCUUCGGGUGUGACUGCGUACCUUUUGUAUAAUGGGUCAGCGACUUAUAUUCUGUAGCAAGGUUAACCGAAUAGGGGAGCCGCAGGGAAACCGAGUCUUAACUGGGCGUUAAGUUGCAGGGUAUAGACCCGAAACCCGGUGAUCUAGCCAUGGGCAGGUUGAAGGUUGGGUAACACUAACUGGAGGACCGAACCGACUAAUGUUGAAAAAUUAGCGGAUGACUUGUGGCUGGGGGUGAAAGGCCAAUCAAACCGGGAGAUAGCUGGUUCUCCCCGAAAGCUAUUUAGGUAGCGCCUCGUGAACUCAUCUUCGGGGGUAGAGCACUGUUUCGGCUAGGGGGUCAUCCCGACUUACCAACCCGAUGCAAACUACGAAUACCGAAGAAUGUUAUCACGGGAGACACACGGCGGGUGCUAACGUCCGUCGUGAAGAGGGAAACAACCCAGACCGCCAGCUAAGGUCCCAAAGUCAUGGUUAAGUGGGAAACGAUGUGGGAAGGCACAGACAGCCAGGAUGUUGGCUUAGAAGCAGCCAUCAUUUAAAGAAAGCGUAAUAGCUCACUGGUCGAGUCGGCCUGCGCGGAAGAUGUAACGGGGCUAAACCAUGCACCGAAGCUGCGGCAGCGACACUAUGUGUUGUUGGGUAGGGGAGCGUUCUGUAAGCCUGCGAAGGUGUGCUGUGAGGCAUGCUGGAGGUAUCAGAAGUGCGAAUGCUGACAUAAGUAACGAUAAAGCGGGUGAAAAGCCCGCUCGCCGGAAGACCAAGGGUUCCUGUCCAACGUUAAUCGGGGCAGGGUGAGUCGACCCCUAAGGCGAGGCCGAAAGGCGUAGUCGAUGGGAAACAGGUUAAUAUUCCUGUACUUGGUGUUACUGCGAAGGGGGGACGGAGAAGGCUAUGUUAGCCGGGCGACGGUUGUCCCGGUUUAAGCAUGUAGGCUGGUUAUCCAGGCAAAUCCGGAUAAUCAAGGCUGAGGUGUGAUGACGAGGCACUACGGUGCUGAAGUAACAAAUGCCCUGCUUCCAGGAAAAGCCUCUAAGCAUCAGGUAACAUUAAAUCGUACCCCAAACCGACACAGGUGGUCAGGUAGAGAAUACCAAGGCGCUUGAGAGAACUCGGGUGAAGGAACUAGGCAAAAUGGUGCCGUAACUUCGGGAGAAGGCACGCUGGUGUGUAGGUGAAGUCCCUGCGGAUGGAGCUGAGACCAGUCGAAGAUACCAGCUGGCUGCAACUGUUUAUUAAAAACACAGCACUGUGCAAACACGAAAGUGGACGUAUACGGUGUGACGCCUGCCCGGUGCCGGAAGGUUAAUUGAUGGGGUUAUCCGUAAGGAGAAGCUCUUGAUCGAAGCCCCGGUAAACGGCGGCCGUAACUAUAACGGUCCUAAGGUAGCGAAAUUCCUUGUCGGGUAAGUUCCGACCUGCACGAAUGGCGUAAUGAUGGCCAGGCUGUCUCCACCCGAGACUCAGUGAAAUUGAACUCGCUGUGAAGAUGCAGUGUACCCGCGGCAAGACGGAAAGACCCCGUGAACCUUUACUAUAGCUUGACACUGAACAUUGAGCCUUGAUGUGUAGGAUAGGUGGGAGGCUUUGAAGCGUGGACGCCAGUCUGCGUGGAGCCAACCUUGAAAUACCACCCUUUAAUGUUUGAUGUUCUAACGUUGGCCCCUGACCGGGGUUGCGGACAGUGUCUGGUGGGUAGUUUGACUGGGGCGGUCUCCUCCCAAAGCGUAACGGAGGAGCACGAAGGUUAGCUAAUCCUGGUCGGACAUCAGGAGGUUAGUGCAAUGGCAUAAGCUAGCUUGACUGCGAGCGUGACGGCGCGAGCAGGUGCGAAAGCAGGUCAUAGUGAUCCGGUGGUUCUGAAUGGAAGGGCCAUCGCUCAACGGAUAAAAGGUACUCCGGGGAUAACAGGCUGAUACCGCCCAAGAGUUCAUAUCGACGGCGGUGUUUGGCACCUCGAUGUCGGCUCAUCACAUCCUGGGGCUGAAGUAGGUCCCAAGGGUAUGGCUGUUCGCCAUUUAAAGUGGUACGCGAGCUGGGUUUAGAACGUCGUGAGACAGUUCGGUCCCUAUCUGCCGUGGGCGCUGGAGAAUUGAGGGGGGCUGCUCCUAGUACGAGAGGACCGGAGUGGACGCAUCACUGGUGUUCGGGUUGUCAUGCCAAUGGCACUGCCCGGUAGCUAAAUGCGGAAGAGAUAAGUGCUGAAAGCAUCUAAGCACGAAACUUGCCCCGAGAUGAGUUCUCCCUGAGACUAUAAGUCUCCUGAAGGAACGUUAAAGACGAUGACGUUGAUAGGCCGGGUGUGUAAGCGCAGCGAUGCGUUGAGCUAACCGGUACUAAUGAACCGUGAGGCUUAACCUU
rnacentral:rRNA from 1 species